rnacentral:tRNA from 1 species
UGCCCUGUUAGCUCAGUUGGUUAGAGCACUGUGCUAAUAACGCAGGGGUCACAGGUUCGAUCGGGGCAAGCUAUUUCGGUAU